UCCCUCUCUCUGCUGAUGAAAAGCAGCCCAGCCCUGAGCCUGCAGCUCUGGGAGAGGAGCCCCAGCCUGGGAUUCCCAGGUGUUGCCAUUCGGUGAUCAGCACUGAAAACACAGGACCCACCAUGGAAUUCAGGCUGAGCUGGGUUUUCCUUGUUGCUAUUUUAAAAGGUGUCCAGGGUGAGGUGCAGCUGGUGGAGUCUGGGGGCGGCUUGGCAAAGCCUGGGGGGUCCCUGAGACUCUCCUGUGUAGGCUCUGGAUUCACCUUCAGUAACUAUGGCAUGAGCUGGGUCCGCCAGGCUCCAGGGAAGGGGCUGGAGUGGGUCUCAGCUAUUAAUAGUGGUGGGGGUAGCACAUGGUACGCAGACUCCGUGAAGGGCAGAUUCACCAUCUCCAGAGAGAACGCCAAGAACACGCUGUAUCUUCAAAUGGACAGCCUGAAAGCCGAGGACACGGCUGUGUAUUACUGUGCGAGAGACACAGCGAGGGGAAGUCGGUGUCCUGAGCGCCCCUUGCUGGUGCUGAUCGUCCCCUGGUGUCUGAGCACCCCCUGGUGUCUGAUCCCCUAUGCCUGUCCUCAGCGCCCCCUGGUGGUGUCUGAGCCUCGCUGGUGGUGUCCUGAGCUCCCAUUAGUUUCUGAGCUUUCCUGGCACUUUGCCUUCUGGGAGAGGACAGUGGAGGUCUACAGCCCUCCACAGUGUACUAGAGCCGACUAG